ensembl:snoRNA small nucleolar RNA SNORD41
CUGGACAUGAUGACAGAUUUAGAGCUGAUGCCGGUGAUGGCUGUUGUGUUCGUACUGUCUGAUCCAU